AUGGCACCAUAUAGGCUAGCAGCUUUUGGAUUCAGAGGUGCUUUGAAAUUACAGCACAAAUACUAUGGUCCAUUUGUGAUUGUGCAAAGGAUAGGCAACUCUGCAUAUAAACUCCAGUUUCCAGAGCAUGUCAAAAUUCAUCCAGUUUUCCAUGUGAGCCAAUUGAAAAAGCAUAUUGGUCCAACAUCCAUCCCUAGUGAGAAUCUCCCAAUGGUCAAUCAAGAUGGUACCAUCAAAACUGGCCCAGCUGAGGUCUUGCAAGUCAGACAAGUUCCCCGACAUAACUUGCCAGUGGUUCAAUGGUUGAUACAAUGGCAAAAUCUAUCCAUGGAGGAAGCCACCUGGGAGGAUGCAGACUUCACUAAAUAUACAUUCCCAGAGUUCUUCAAGGCCACAACGCAAGCUUGGCGUGAUGCAGCUCAAUCGCCGUGA
rnacentral:rRNA from 1 species